CGCAAGCUUACCCUGUGAAGGACCUACAGUAAGCAAAAUGGACAAAACCCAAAACGUCAGGUCGAGGUGUAGCUUAUGGAGUGGAAAGAAAUGGGCUACAUUUCCUUCACUAAAGGAUAUUACGAACGACCUCAUGAAAUUAGAGGUCCUAAGGUGGAUUUAGCAGUAAACAUAAAUUAGAGUAUUCUUUUGAAGCCGGCUCUGAAACGCGCACACACCGCCCGUCACUCUCCCCAUCACCGAUUAAUUUAAGUAAUUAACUAAACACAUAAACUAGCGGGGAGGCAAGUCGUAACAUG
rnacentral:rRNA from 1 species